rnacentral:misc_RNA from 1 species
GCAUUGACAGUGGAUCGUCUUGCCUCACUAGAGAAGUAUUCUGAGACUGCUGUUGUACCACGUGCAUCUAUUUUGGCAACAGAAGUGGAGUGGCUGAAAUCCAUCAAGGCAGAUUUUGUGGUAUCAGAUGUUGUUCCAGUUGCUUGCAGGGCUGCAGCUGAUGCUGGAAUUCCAUCUGUUUGUAUCACCAACUUCAGGUUUUCACGACUAACUCCGUUUUUACUUCAUAUCUUCUUUGUCAUAUAUUAUUUGGCUGAAAUUAGAGUGUGUAUAAUGAUACAACAAAUGUUCAGGUAAAUAAAGCUCAAGUGAAAUACGCCGCAUGCUUUUUUGAUUUGAGGUUUAGAAUCAGACACCCAGAUUAUACUUCUGAUCCUUUUCAAGUCCUGAAAACUAUUUUAUAUAUUUUUGAUUAAUCUCUGUACCCUGUUGCAAAACAUGAUACUAUUAUUUGUAAUGAUUCCUGGUGAUCAAUGGACUAUGUCCUUUUGUUGGUUGUCAUUUUAUCUUCAGUAGAUCAAGGUUAAAAAAAUAUCCCUUAUAUACCUGCCAAUAUUUUUCCUGGGUAGCUGGGACUUCAUCUAUGCAGAAUAUGUAAUGGCAGCUGGAAACCAUCAUAGAUCAAUAGUGUGGCAGAUUGCAGAGGACUAUUCUCAUUGUGAAUUUCUUAUUCGACUGCCAGGAUACUGUCCAAUGCCUGCUUUUCGAGAUAUAAUUGACGUGCCAUUGGUUGUAAGGAGAUUGCACAAGUCUCGUAAAGAGGUGCGGAAAGAACUUGGAAUUGGGGAAGAUGUAAAUGUUGUUAUCCUGAAUUUUGGUGGACAGCCUGCAGGUUGGAAGUUGAAGGAGGAAUACUUGCCAACUGGUUGGUUGUGUCUGGUUUGUGGUGCCUCUGAGAGCGAGAAGCUACCUCCAAAUUUUUUAAAGCUUGCAAAAGAUGCAUAUACCCCGGAUCUAAUGGCAGCAUCAGACUGCAUGCUAGGAAAAAUUGGAUAUGGUACCGUCAGUGAGGCCCUGGCCUACAAGUUACCAUUUGUAUUUGUCCGUAGAGACUAUUUUAAUGAAGAACCGUUUCUCAGAAAUAUGCUUGAGUACUAUCAAGGUGGUGUUGAGAUGAUCAGAAGGGAUUUACUUACUGGACAUUGGAGACCUUACCUUGAACGUGCAAUGACUCUGAAUCCAUGCUAUGAAGGAGGAAUUAAUGGUGGUGAAGUUGCAGCUCGCAUUUUACAGGAUACAGCUUAUGGUAAAAAUUAUACACUAGACAAGCUGAGUGGGCCAAGGAGACUGCGUGAUGCCAUAGUUCUUGGAUAUCAGUUGCAAAGAGUUCCCGGAAGAGAUCUCUGUAUUCCAGAUUGGUAUGCAAAUGCAGAAAGUGAACUUGGUCUUCGUACAGGAUCACCUACUGCUGUAACAGCUGAAAACAAAUCUCUAGCAGACUCGUUUUAUCAAGACUUUGAGAUUCUCCAUGGAGACUUUCUUGGUCUGUCAGAUACCUUGAGUUUCUUGAAGAGCUUGGCAGGACUGGAUGCAUUGGUAGAUUCCCCAACAAAAACAGGAAAGCACACCAUUAGGGAGCAGAAAGCUGCUGCUGGUCUCUUCAAUUGGGAGGAAGACAUUUUUGUGGCAAGAGCACCUGGAAGGCUAGAUGUGAUGGGUGGAAUUGCUGACUAUUCUGGAAGUCUUGUUUUACAGAUGCCAAUUAGAGAAGCCUGUCAUGUUGCUGUUCAAAAGAUUCACCCCAGCAAACAGAGGCUAUGGAAACAUGCUCUGGCUCGGCAGCAGGACAAAGGACAAGGACCCACCCCUGUGCUUCAAAUUCUUUACCAAUUUGCGCCACAAUAGGUGUCAUAUGGCUCAGAACUGAGCAACCGUGGUCCAACAUUUGACAUGGACUUAUCCGACUUCCUGGAAGGGGAUGAACCCAUAACUUAUGAGAAAGCAAGGCAGUAUUUUGCCCGAGAUCCUUCCCAAAGAUGGGCUGCAUAUGUUGCUGGCACAGUUCUAGUUUUGAUGAAGGAGCUUGGCAUACGCUUUGAGAAUAGUAUCAGUUUGCUGGUCUCUUCUGCUGUCCCAGAAGGAAAAGGUGUGUCAUCCUCUGCAUCUGUGGAGGUUGCUAGCAUGUCU